rnacentral:lncRNA from 1 species
CCUUCAUCUCUGCAAGUGUCAAAACAUUAAUUUGUGUCAAGAACAUAUGCUUUCAGUACUUAAAACAAGCUUGUUUUUGUGCUGUUGCUCUGCCUUGUUAGUUCUUACACUUCAAUUGUCUAGAAAGGUUGCCCCUCUCUACUAUAAAAAAAAAUAAAAAAAGCCAGGAAUAAUUUCACCACUGAUUGAAUGAAUGCAAUGAACAGUCAUUCCUCGCUGAGAAAGGCUGAGCCUCCUGCCAUUGUUCUCUUGACAAAUAGUGAAUGUCCUCCCUUUCCACUGUCUGACCUUGACUAAUUGUGGAGAAUUGGUGCAGCUGUCCCUGGCUCAUUCAGGGCUGCAACACAAGGGCAUGUAAGAAACUUUAAGCUGCCAUCAUAAAACUCCAGUUUGAGGACUUCAUCACAAUGCAUGGUGCUCACUUUUUUGUUGCUGCUGUUUAGCUUGUUGCUAUUUACUUCCUCUGAUAGUGUAUUUUAUAGUCACGCUGUUUUCUUCUCAUUUGCUUUUGUAUGCAUCUGGAAUACGUAGAUUGUAGUGAGAGUAUUUCUAAAAGAGAUAGGUAAAGUCACAUGGAGAAAUACUUAUAAAACCAUCAAUUAAAAAGCACCAAACUCUCUUCAAGUAGAUAGAUUCAGAUGUGUACAACGAGUAUCAUGAGCAAGUCAGUCAUAACACAAUGCAGAAGAUGAGGUGAUUCAGCAGUAUUCUUGAAAACAAAGUACUCAGAGCUUGUAAAUCCUCAAGGCAAGUGACUUUUUACUCACUAUCCAGACAACAUCCAGACCAGAUCUCAUUUGAAGUUUCUCAGUGAUCCAAACAGACAAAUGCCCAGCUGGAACUUGAGCUCUCCAGAAGUGGUCAGAGUGCAGAGUGUUGUGUCUCCAUUGCCAAAAUAUCUGGAGAGAUUCCUUUGCAAAGGGAAGGCAUUCUCAUUGGUAGAAGAAAAAGAAAUAGCAAUAUAUUUGCAGUAUCUUUGCUGAAGUAUGUUUGCUUUUGUUCAUGUUUUUCUAAUCGAGAAAAUUUUUGUUUAUGUUCCAAUGGAAAGAGUAAGAGAUAUUGUUCCAAGCAUGCCACUGAAAGACAGAUCUUUCUCUCAGUAAAAGAGGUCUGUUGGCCCUCUGUGACAGUGAUGAUAUAAAAAUGCCAUUUACUUGAUUUUUAAUGAAAG